AUAUUUUAAGAGCGACGGGCGGUUUGUACACAAAGCAUUUCCUGUCAUCAAAUCACCUAAAUUUUACUUUUAAAUCCACCUUCAAUAAAAAUUUUCAUUUUAAAUUUCGUGCUUGCUCAAUUCAAAUGUAACCCACCUCAGACUUCCUCAUUAGCUGCACCUUUACUUGAAGUUAAUACUUUUUAUAUUAUUGAUAGAUUUCUAAAGAAACUAACUGACAACAGCGGUAUACAAACUGAAAACAAGAGAAAGUACAGUGACUCGUGGACCAUCGAUUAAAGGGCAGGUUCCUCUAAAAGGCUGCUUUGCCGCCAAAUCCGUUAAAUUUCAUUAUUUAUAUUAAUCUGGGAACUAAGAAAUUAGUAACAGGGUAUCUAAUCCUGGUUCUUUUCAAUUUUUAAAAGUUUACAAACCUAAUUUUUUAAUAAAAUUUAAGAUUCUACCCUAUAAAGUCAACAAAAAAAGACCUCACUUUGUAAACCCUUCCCCAUAAAAUAAUUUUAACCUAGAAUUUAU
rnacentral:rRNA from 1 species